rnacentral:ribozyme from 13 species
UUUCUCUCUUUCUUGUCCUCUCCCUUUUCUUGGCUCUUUUUUUUUUUUCUUCCUUCUUUCUUUUGACUCCCCCUCAGUCAAAAAUCUGUGUUGAUGGCAGACGACGAACCGCCAACCAAGAGAAGGAAGACAACGAACAUCGAUCCUUCUCAUAUUUCUCAACUCUUGGAACGAUGUGUUGUCUCAGAAGACGAAAAACAAGAUGACACAAUUGCCAUCA